AUACGGAGGAUCCGAGCGUUAUCCGGAUUUAUUGGGUUUAAAGGGAGCGUAGGUGGAUUGUUAAGUCAGUUGUGAAAGUUUGCGGCUCAACCGUAAAAUUGCAGUUGAAACUGGCAGUCUUGAGUACAGUAGAGGUGGGCGGAAUUCGUGGUGUAGCGGUGAAAUGCUUAGAUAUCACGAAGAACUCCGAUUGCGAAGGCAGCUCACUAGACUGUUACUGACACUGAUGCUCGAAAGUGUGGGUAUCAAACAGGAUUAGAUACCCUGGUAGUCCACACAGUAAACGAUGAAUACUCGCUGUUUGCGAUAUACAGUAAGCGGCCAAGCGAAAGCAUUAAGUAUUCCACCUGGGGAGUACGCCGGCAACGGUGAAACUCAAAUGAAUCGACGGGG
rnacentral:rRNA from 1 species